rnacentral:rRNA from 1 species
CCUACGGGCGGCUGCAGUAGGGAAUAUUGGACAAUGGGCGCAAGCCUGAUCCAGCCAUGCCGCGUGAGUGAAGAAGGCCCUCGGGUUGUAAAGCUCUUUUGUUGGGGAAGAAAAGCAGUCGGUUAAUACCUGAUUGUUCUGACGGUACCCAAAGAAUAAGCACCGGCUAACUUCGUGCCAGCAGCCGCGGUAAUACGAAGGGUGCAAGCGUGGCUCGGAAUUACUGGGCGUAGAGCGUGCGUACGUAGUUGAAAGCCCUGGGCUCAACCUGGGAAUGGCACUGGAUACUGGCAAGCUAGAGUGUGGCAGAGGGUAGUGGAAUUCCUGGUGUAGCAGUGAAAUGCGUAGAGAUCAGGAGGAACAUCCGUGGCGAAGGCGACUGCCUGGGCCAACACUGACACUGAGGCACGAAAGCGUGGGGAGCAAACAGGAUUAGAUACCCCAGUAGUC